rnacentral:rRNA from 1 species
GACGAACCGUGCGAACGUUGUUCGGAUUCACUGGGCUUAAAGGGCGCGUAGGCGGGGGGUCAAGUCCGAGGUGAAAUCUUUCGGCUCAACCGGAAAAGUGCCUUGGAUACUGACUCUCUCGAGGGAGGUAGGGGCAUGUGGAACUUCCGGUGGAGCGGUGAAAUGCGUAGAUAUCGGAAGGAACGCCGGUGGCGAAAGCGACGUGCUGGACCUCUUCUGACGCUGAGGCGCGAAAGCCAGGGGAGCAAACGGG